AGUCUUCAAGAGAAUAAUUUCAGGCAUUAAUUUUCGAUUUUCGUUCACUUGAGCAUAUUAUAGUUACCUGAUUACUAUUAAACGAGGAUUCACAAUAGCUUUCUUUCUUCUCGAAAAGCACGUUUUUCUAACCUGAUAUAAAAUUAAACAUUUAGCACAUUUUCUCUUUUUAAUUGGCAAUUACAAUCUUACUUUUCAGUUUUGGGAUUCGCCCUCACUACUUUACACCAGAAAUAAUCCAAUCAUCGACUAGCUCUACAAAAUUAAUAGUUCAACUUUUUCUUCUAUGUCGCACUGCCGUGUCUUAACUGUUCGGUGGUUUAGACUUAAGAGACUGGAUUGUUCAGAAUGUUGGACUUAUGCCCUUGACCGACGAUACCCGAGCUCGUAAAUGUUCGGUGUUUUUCGUGUACUUCCUUUUAGGAACGCAAAUCUUUAGUUUUGACCAGGCCUUUACUGUAGAAUCGCAACUUAUAUGGGAUCAGAGACAUGGAACGCGGGUAAGCCUACACGGAAAUAAUAUCAUUUUGGGUUUCAUUGCCAUCUAUAUAUUUUGUAAUAAAAGGUUACAUUAAAAUACUGUAACCUCGUUACAUUUCCCCCUACCGAUCGGAAAAAAAAUAAAUGAAGACACUGAAUUUAUUUUUUUUUUCAAAAAAAUAAUUAGUUCUUGUUUGAGGUAGUUAAAAUUAUUGUUGAUUUCUAUUUUAACUGAGGAAACAUUUGUGUUGCUGCAUGUAUACUUACUAAUAGCUUAUCUUUAAUUAUUGAAUUAUUUAGUUUGAUUUUAUUUUUACAGGUUAUUUUUAUUGCUUAUUGACGUUUACUAUCUGUACAUAACUUUAAAAAUCUCUUUACUAAUUUUCCGAACCUACUGUGCCGUUCUAAUGGGAUACCAUUGCUGAAAACUUGGCGUGACCGUUCAUCACACCUAACCAUAAUAACGCGAAGCGUCGAGAAACCUCCCAACCAUAUCUUAAACAAACCAAAAUCAUUAAUGGGACUAUCCGGAAACCUCCGAACCAAACUCCAAAUCUAAAUAAAUUGUUGCUGGAACUAUCGCAGUUCCAAAUGACAUCAACCUACGGUAUCCCCAUUCCAACGGCCUCUACUGUAUUCUGACUAAUCGACCCGUCGAAAUAAUCGACGAAACUUUUGACAUUUCUUACUGUCAGCUAACUGUGUGGUGAAAAUGAAAAUGAAAACAAAACCAAAGUGAAAUGAAAACUAAGAAUUGUUGAACUAUUGUGAGUGGCAAAGAAGUUACUGGAACAAAAAAAAACAACUAUGGCAGCUAGAAAUCUGGAAAAAAAUAGCAACUAUUGCAGGAAUCAUGGAGGAGCAACUGUGUCAGCUACGUCUGUUGUUUGUGGUGCAAAAUCUAUUGAAAAAGUUGCAAGCAGUCCUAGAGGGGAUCCAUCGAGCCGCGAAGAGGAGAUCGCUUGUAAGGACAACGUUAUUGAAGCCAAUCCCUCUCGCCGAACUCGGAGUUGCCAAACCAUCACACUCGCUGAGUCAAAACGGUUUAAGAAGAAUAUAUAUGAAGUAAUUAUGUACAAUCUAAAACGUAAUUAUGUGAAAAAAAAAAUUAUGAAAAAAAUAGAAAUAUAAGUUCAAAAAUUCAGUAUAAUGCAGCAAAACAAAACUAAACCUAAUUCUUACCGUAAUCCGAAAAAAAACAAUCAAAAUUAUAUCCAAAUCCAACUAAACCUCAAUCAUCAAAUAAUUCAAUUCUUACUCAAACUUACUAUCUACUGUACAAGCUUAUUUCAAAAACCGUUGGUUGGGCGCCAAAUGUAACGGGACUCGGGACGGCAUAAAUCUCGGAUUUGAUACUACCUCCGCUUAAGCGCCAGGCAAGCUAUUUCUUGCCGCGAAGGAAGCGAGUUGUCUCACCAAAGAAUCCCGACCCGGCUGCGAGACCUCAGGGCAGGUCCUAAAUCGCGACCGCUGACCCACGACCGAAACCUUAGCACACGACCUCCAACGAACAGAAACAAACUAUCAAAAGAAAAGCUAUCAAACUGCAGGGUGGAUAGGUUUCCUUUGUAGGUUUUCCUACCCAGAGCCUAUUCUACUCGACCCGAACACCGAAAUCUGAAAUCACCAGUAUUCUCUCAUCCAAUCACUUGAACUUACUAAAAUUGCCAAAAGAGUUUAUGCAUUUGGUACCAAGUUUUACUAAAACUAAUCUUUGAAAAUGUGUGGUGCUAUGUACAUAAUGAUCUUAACUCUAGGGGGUUAGUAUAUACAAUUUUGGGUAGCGCUUACUUGUUCU